UUCUAGUUAGUCUCAGAUAAACAGUGAAUAAUUUUUUGGUAUAAGUAUAUCCUAUGCAAUACUUGGGACAUACUUAUUCUAAAAAAAUCAUUCAUUGUUUAUCUGAAUUUUUAACU
rnacentral:miRNA from 10 species